ensembl:lncRNA
UGGAGAUAUCCACACGUCACCGUACUGAAUGCUUCCCAUUGAUCUACACUCGCCUGACACUGUGACUGACAGAGCCAAUCAGCCUAUCACGGCCCUGGAGACGGACACACACUCAUUUACAGAAACGCCUGCUCCCUUUGACAUCUAAGGCCAACAAUAAAGACAAGAGCCACCCAGCUUUUCGUGGCUUCACUCCAAAAGGCCGGUCGGCUGGUGACGUCCCAUUAACUCUCACCCAACAGGAGAUUACAACUCAUAAAAAACAAUGACUUAGUUCAGCUGGUAUUACAACCCAACCUCCUCACCAAACCGGCCGAUUGAGGAGGACAGAAGAAAAUCCGGAGGCUGAAACUAUUUCUCUAAUGCAAAGACGGGAUUCCCCACUUUCCUGAAUGUUAUAAUUGAAUGCAAAUAAAGAUAUAUUCUGCGUU